GCGUGAGCGAUGAAGGCCUUAGGGUUGUAAAGCUCUUUCAGGGGGGAAGAUAAUGACUGUACCCCCAGAAGAAGCCCCGGCUAACUCCGUGCCAGCAGCCGCGGUAAUACGGAGGGGGCUAGCGUUGUUCGGAAUUACUGGGCGUAAAGCGCACGUAGGCGGACUGGAAAGUCAGAGGUGAAAUCCCAGGGCUCAACCUUGGAACUGCCUUUGAAACUCCCGGUCUUGAGGUCGAGAGAGGUGAGUGGAAUUCCGAGUGUAGAGGUGAAAUUCGU
rnacentral:rRNA from 1 species